rnacentral:rRNA from 1 species
UACGUAGGGUGCGAGCGUUAAUCGGAAUUACUGGGCGUAAAGCGUGCGCAGGCGGUUUGUUAAGACAGAUGUGAAAUCCCCGGGCUUAACCUGGGAACUGCAUUUGUGACUGGCGAGCUAGAGUAUGGCAGAGGGGGGUAGAAUUCCACGUGUAGCAGUGAAAUGCGUAGAGAUGUGGAGGAAUACCGAUGGCGAAGGCAGCCCCCUGGGCCAAUACUGACGCUCAUGCACGAAAGCGUGGGGAGCAAACAGG